AAGAAGAAGAAGAAGAAGAAGCAGGCCUAAAUCUAUCAAAAACUCAUGCACAUUACAAAAACAAGCUCAAGAACUGAAAGAUUGAUAGAUAAACUCCUGUUCUUAACUUUUCUCUCUGUGAAAUUUGUUGAAGAAAAGGGCAAAUUUUUCUGCUUCCGUCACUGAAUGAAGACAGAAGCAGAACAGCGCCAAAUCCAAAAUGUGGAGAGAAAUGGAGAGAAGUAAA
rnacentral:misc_RNA from 1 species